rnacentral:rRNA from 1 species
UGGGGAAUAUUGGGCAAUGGAGGCAACUCUGACCCAGCAACGCCGCGUGAAUGAAGAAGGUCUUCGGAUUGUAAAGUUCUUUAAUUGGUGACGAACAAAAUGACGGUAGCCAAAGAAUAAGCCACGACUAACUACGUG